UGAGAUGGGAGAGGUUGGAGGGGAGAGUUAUGAGGGCAGUGAGAUGUGAGAGGUUGGAGUGGAGUGAGAUGGGAGAGGUUGGAGGGGAGAGUAAUGAGGGCAGUGAGAUGGGAGAGGUUGGAGGGGAGUGAGAUGGGAGAGGUUGGAGGGGAGAGUUAUGAGGGCAGUGAGAUGGGAGAGGUUGGAGGGGAGAGUUAUGAGGGCAGUGAGAUGUGAGAGGUUGGAGGGGAGUGAGAUGGGAGAGGUUGGAGGGGAGAGUUAUGAGGGCAGUGAGAUGUGAGAGGUUGGAGGGCAGUGAGAUGGGAGAGGUUGGAGGGGAGAGUUAUGAGGGCAGUGAGAUGUGAGAGGUUGGAGUGGAGUGAGAUGGGAGAGGUUGGAGGGGAGAGUAAUGAGGGCAGUGAGAUGGGAGAGGUUGGAGGGGAGUGAGAUGGGAGAGGUUGGAGGGGAGAGUUAUGAGGGCAGUGAGAUGGGAGAGGUUGGAGGGGAGAGUUAUGAGGGCAGUGAGAUGUGAGAGGUUGGAGGGGAGUGAGAUGGGAGAGGUUGAAGAGGAGUGAGACGGGAGUGGUUGAAGGGGAGUGAGACGGGAGAGGUUGGAGGGGAGAGUUAUGAGGGCAGUGAGACGGGAGAGGUUGGAGGGGAGUGAGACGGGAGUGGUUGGAGGGGAGUGAGACGGGAGAGGUUGGAGGGGAGAGUUAUGAGGGCAGUGAGAUGGGAGAGGUUGGAGGGGAGUGAGACAGGAGUGGUUGGAGGGGAGUGAGACGGGAGAGGUUGGAGAGGAGUGAGAUGGGAGAGUUUUGAGGGCAGUGAGACAGGAGAGGUUGGAGGGGAGUGAGACGGGAGAGGUUGAAGAGGAGUGAGAUGGGAGUGGUUGAAGAGGAGUGAAAUGGGAGAGGUUGGAGGGGAGUGAGUGAGACGGGAGAGGUUGGAGAGGAGUGAGAUGGGAGAGGUUGGAGGGGAGUGAGACGGGAGAGGUUGGAGGGGAGUGAGAUGGGAGAGGUUGAAGGGGAGUGAGACGGGAGAGGUUGAAGAGGAGUGAGAUGGGAGAGGUUGGAGGGGAGUGAGAUGGGAGAGGUUGAAGAGGAGUGAGAUGGGAGAGGUUGGAGGGGAGUGAGAUGGGAGAGGUUGGAGGGGAGAGAGACGGGAAAGGUUGAAGAGGAGUGAGACGGGAGAGGUUGGAGGGGAGUGAGACGGGAGAGGUUGAAGAGGAGUGAGACAGGAGUGGUUGGAGGGGAGAGUUAUGAGGGCAGUGAGAUGUGAGAGGUUGGAGGGGAGUGAGAUGGGAGAGGUUGAAGAGGAGUGAGACGGGAGUGGUUGGAGGGGAGUGAGACGGGAGAGGUUGAAGAGGAGUGAGACGGGAGUGGUUGAAGGGGAGUGAGACGGGAGAGGUUGAAGAGGAGUGAGACAGGAGUGGUUGGAGGGGAGAGUUAUGAGGGCAGUGAGAUGUGAGAGGUUGGAGGGGAGUGAGAUGGGAGAGGUUGGAGGGGAGUGAGACGGGAGAGGUUGGAGGGGAGAGAGACAGGAGAGGUUGGAGGGGAGUGAGA